CUGUUAUCGAGGAACAUCGGAGGUCUACGGAAAGUGGGAGCAACGAUAAUUUCUUGAGGGAUGCGAAGUUGAAAGGGAUGCACGACGCGCAGUGUCACUAUCUCGGCCGCGUCCACGGUCAUUCGGGGGACAGCGCCCUGUCCACUUGUUACGGCUUGUUCGCAGAAACGCCACCCACCUAAGAACCAGGCCAAUUUGUACACGAUGGAACUGUUGCUGGUACUCGACAAGACCGUUCUCGAUUAUCACAAGGAUUUCGACGUCGAGAAUUACGCGCUCACGCUGCUCAACAUGGCUGCGGCGUUGCUACACGACGUCAGUUUAGGAAUAACUAUGGAA